rnacentral:rRNA from 1 species
AGUGAACGCUGGCGGUAGGCCUAACACAUGCCAGUCGAACGGCAGCACAGUAAGAGCUUGCUCUUACGGGUGGCGAGUGGCGGACGGGUGAGGAAUAAAUCGGAAUCUACUUUUUCGUGGGGGAUAACGUAGGGAAACUUACGCUAAUACCGCAUACGACCUACGGGUGAAAGCAGGGGAUCUUCGGACCUUGCGCGAUUGAAUGAGCCGAUGUCGGAUUAGCUAGUUGGCGGGGUAAAGGCCCACCAAGGCGACGAUCCGUAGCUGGUCUGAGAGGAUGAUCAGCCACACUGGAACUGAGACACGGUCCAGACUCCUACGGGAGGCAGCAGUGGGGAAUAUUGGACAAUGGGCGCAAGCCUGAUCCAGCCAUACCGCGUGGGUGAAGAAGGCCUUCGGGUUGUAAAGCCCUUUUGUUGGGAAAGAAAAGCAGCAGGUUAAUACCCCGCUGUUCUGACGGUACCCAAAGAAUAAGCACCGGCUAACUCCGUG